UGUGUGCAGAUAAACUUCUGCAGCCCAUUCGCAAGUCGGGUCAUUUUAGUGUGGGUACUGCCUAUAGUAGAUCUACUGUGAUCCACCGUUUCUGUGCCAUGUAGGGAGAGGGUCCUGUGGGAGAAAAAGUUUGUCAUCCAAUUGUAUAUAUUCGGGGAAGUGUUCAGCGUGACCAUUUUUUGGGUUAGGAUGCUGGAUGCUGCGAUCAAAAACACAUGUGAACUCUAUGACAAUUGCGCUAGGGAUGGUUUUGAGAGAUUUGUGCUCUAUGGUGUUUAUUAAGUUGUUGAGGCAGUGUGCAGUGGAUUUAUUAUUUGGAAUGCAUAGGAGUGGAACGGGGGGCGUUUAGUAGAGCGAUGGGUCCGAAAUUGAAAGGGCUUUCUUGGUAUUUUCCGGGUUUCAAAAUCGGGCCAAUUUCGGCUUCCACCCAUUCAUCCGGGAUGUUUAAGAUAGCUAAGAGCUUAUAUUUUUGAAUGGGGUCAAUGGGUCUCCUGUAUCCCGGGCACCUGCUGCUGCCUGCAAUGUGCCGAUGAUCCACACCUUUCUUUCCUUUGCACUACUAGCGGCGUACACAUUCGUCCCAGCCUUGGUCAACCGCUUUGCUUACAAUCAGUAAAAAUCUUUCUCGCUCUCUUGUCAGAUUGUCUUUGGAAAAGGCUAAUGAAAUACCGCCUAUGUUCCAAAGCCGCCGACGCUCUAAAUUCCAAACUCUAGGGAGGAAUAUUUUUUUCAGAAUUCUGGGGUCCUAAUCCGCAUCAACUUGAUGCCGGACCGGACCAAAUGGGGAACAACUUACUCCCUUUUUUUGGUCCACGGACCCUCGUUUAGGUUUAGCAAAAA